UACGUAGGGGGCAAGCGUUGUCCGGAUUUAUUGGGCGUAAAGGGCGCGUAGGCGGUUUCUUAAGUUUGGAGUGACAGUGGGUGGCUUAACUACCCAAGGCCUCUGAAAACUGGGGAACUUGAGGACCAGAGAGGGACAUAGAAUUCCGGGUGGAGUGGUGAAAUGCGUAGAUAUCCGGAGGAAUACCAAAGGCGAAGGCAGUGUCCUGGAGGGUGACUGACGCUGAGGCGCGAAAGCUAGGGGAGCGAACGAG
rnacentral:rRNA from 1 species